UAUCUCUGUAGAGUCUGCAUAUCAAUAAGCGGAGGAAAAGAAAACUAACUAGGAUUCCCCUAGUAACGGCGAGUGAAGCGGGAAGAGCUCAAAUUUGAAAUCUUAAAGGUUUCUACCUUGACGAAUUGUAGUUUAAAGAAGUGUUUUUCUGUUGGAGGUUUUGGUAAAAGUUCUUUGGAAUAGGACAUCAUAGAGGGUGAGAAUCCCGUAUUUGACCAUUUACUUUCAAGCGUUGUGAUACACUUUCAAAGAGUCGGAUUGUUUGGGAAUGCAGUCCAAAAUGGGUGGUAAAUUUCAUCUAAAGCUAAAUAUUGGCGAGAGACCGAUAGCGAACAAGUACCGUGAGGGAAAGAUGAAAAGAACUUUGAAAAGAGAGUUAAACAGGUACGUGAAAUUGUCAAAAGGGAAGCGUUUGACACCAGUGUUGCUUUUUCUGAAAAUCAAUUAAAGAACUGUUUAUGCUAAGUUGUUUAGACUUUAUUAGCUAACUGUUUAGUUUUGAGCUUUUCUUUAAUGCACUUUUCAGUUAACAAGUCAACAUCAAUUUCUUUUGCUGUAAAAAAAGCUUGAGGAAGGUGGCUUGAGAUUCGUCUUAAGUGUUUUAUAGCCUCUUGCCUAUGCAGUCGGAGAGAUUGAGGUCUGCAGCGUAGAUCCUUCGGGGCUAAAUGCAUUUGUGCUAAGUUAUAGCAUUUUAUAGACAACUUGUUGACUAUGAUUUGUCUUGUAGCUUACUCGCUUAUGUUAUUUUACCUACGCUUAGGAUGUUUGACGAUCAGCUGAGCGCG
rnacentral:rRNA from 1 species